rnacentral:rRNA from 1 species
CCAGACUCCUACGGGAGGCAGCAGUGGGGGAUAUUGCACAAUGGGGGAAACCCUGAUGCAGCGACGCCGCGUGUGGGAAGACGGUCCUCUGGAUUGUAAACCACUGUCCCCAGGGACGAAGAUGACGGUACCUGGGGAGGAAGCUCCGGCUAACUACGUGCCAGCAGCCGCGGUAAUACGUAGGGAGCGAGCGUUGUCCGGAAUUACUGGGUGUAAAGGGAGCGUAGGCGGGACUGCAAGUUGGGUGUCAAAUCUACCGGCUCAACCGGUAGCCGCACUCAAAACUGCAGUUCUUGAGUGAAGUAGAGGCAGGCGGAAUUCCUAGUGUAGCGGUGAAAUGCGUAGAUAUUAGGAGGAACACCAGUGGCGAAGGCGACUUUCUGGACUGUACCUGACGCUGAGGCGCGAAAGCGUGGGUAGCGAACGGGAUUAGAUACCCUUGUAC